GGAGGGGCAGAGAGCAGAGGCAGCUCGUGCCAGCCAGUCUGACUCUCCCCUAAGGAGUGGCAGUGAAACCUUCUGCCGAAGACUCUGCCGUACAGGGAGAGCCAGAGGGGCUCCUCUGGCCCCAAGGGGCCAAUAUCUAGAGGUGGGAAACUGGCCGCCAUAACCUGCACUCCCCACUGUGGUGAGGACAACCCCUCCACCGGGCCCCUUUACUUGGCAAGUGGCUAUUUUCCGUGUUCUUCCUGUUCCCCUGCUGAUUUUAGAAGAAUGGUCCUUAGACAUUUAAACAAAUGCAAAGAAAUGUUUGUAAAGUAAAAUGCUACAGUACAUAGGAUGUGAGGACAAUCUGACUGUAAGAAAUACUGAUGAGUUGCCUCACUUGGUGGCCAAGAUUUGAUUCACAGAGCUGUCUGCCCUGGCAUGCAGAGCUCUGGAAGCUGGGAGAAGAGAAAAGACAGCAUUCCUGCGGAUUCCCAGUCAUUUCCAGUCAUGCUUCUCUGUGUUUCGGAUGUACGGUGCCCUCCCAAAGAGAGAGUGUGGCUUUAAACUAAUGAGAUGGAAGGUGCCAUGACAGCGCAGAGUAUCAUAGCCUUUCCACCACUCUGGUUUUACUUUUCAUGAAGAUUAUUAACAUUUGGCAAAGAGUCAUUACUUGACAAUUUAUUAUCCUGUUCAAA